rnacentral:tRNA from 1 species
GCGCCUGUAGCUCAGCUGGAUAGAGCAACGGACUUCUAAUCCGUAGGUCAGUGGUUCGAAUCCACUCAGGCGUGCCA